GCCGUUGUGGCGCAAUGGUAGCGCAUCACCUUCCUACGUCAGUAUCAGGUGGGGGUUGUGGGUUCGAUGCCCAUCAGCGGUA
rfam:Stereum hirsutum FP-91666 SS1 unplaced genomic scaffold STEHIscaffold_29, whole genome shotgun sequence.